rnacentral:rRNA from 1 species
GAUGAACGCUGGCGGCGUGCCUAAUACAUGCAAGUCGAGCGAACGGACGAGAAGCUUGCUUCCCUGAUGUUAGCGGCGGACGGGUGAGUAACACGUGGAUAACCUACCUAUAAUACUGAGAUAACUUCGGGAAACCGGUGCUAAUACCGGAUAAUAUUUUGAACCGCAUGGUUCAAAAGUGAAAGACGGUCUUGCUGUCACUUAUAGAUGGAUCCGCGCUGCAUUAGCGAGUUGGUAAGGUAACGGCUUACCAAGGCAACGAGGCAUAGCCGACGUGAGAGGGAGAACGCACACUGUGACACAGACACGCGCCAGACACCCACGGGAGGGACCGGUGGGGAAUAUUGGCCAAUGGGGGCAAGCCCGAUCCAGAGAAACGCCGCGGGUGAAGAAGGGGUUCGGGUUGUAAAACCCUUUUGUUGGGGAAGAAAAGAAGUAUGUUAAUACCCGGCCGUUCUGACGGGAUCCAAAAAAAAAGCACCGGCGAAAUCCGUG